rnacentral:rRNA from 1 species
GACGAACGCUGGCGGCGUGCCUAAUACAUGCAAGUCGAACGCAGUGGGGACGGGUGAGUAACACGUGGGUAACCUCCCAUCAGAGGGGAUAACACUUGGAAACAGGUGCUAAACCGAUACUGAUGGAUGGACCCGCGGUGCAUUAGCUAGUUGGUGAGGUAACGGCUCACCAAGGCCACGAUGCAUCGCCGCCCUGAGAGGGGUAUCGGCCAAACUGUGACUGAGACAAGGGGCAGGCUCCUACGGGAGGGAGCAGGAGGGAAUGUUCGGCAAUGGGCGAAAGUCUGACCGAGCAAAGGCGCGUGAGUGAAGAAGGUUUUCGGAUCUUAAAGCUCUGUUGUUAGUGAAGCGGUAUCUAACAAGAGAGCCCCGGCUAACUACGUGCCAGCAGCCGCGGUAAUAC